UACGUAGGGUGCAAGCGUUGUCCGGAAUUAUUGGGCGUAAAGAGCUCGUAGGCGGUCUGUCGCGUCUGCUGUGAAAACUCAGGGCUUAACCCUGAGCUUGCAGUGGGUACGGGCAGACUAGAGUGCGGUAGGGGAGACUGGAAUUCCUGGUGUAGCGGUGAAAUGCGCAGAUAUCAGGAGGAACACCGGUGGCGAAGGCGGGUCUCUGGGCCGUAACUGACGCUGAGGUGCGAAAGCGUGGGGAGCAAACGGG
rnacentral:rRNA from 1 species